rnacentral:tRNA from 1 species
GCCCCCAUAGUUUAAUGGAUAAAAUUCAACUUUGCGGAAGUUGUGAUCUAGGUUCGAUUCCUGGUGGGGGCA